CAGUAGCCACGGGAAUACGGAGGGAGCUAGCGUUGUUCGGAAUUACUGGGCGUAAAGCGCACGCAGGCGGUUAUUCAAGUCAGAGGUGAAAGCCCGGGGCUCAACCCCGGAACUGCCUUUGAAACUAGAUGACUGGAAUCUUGGAGAGGUCAGUGGAAUUCCGAGUGUAGAGGUGAAAUUCGUAGAUAUUCGGAAGAACACCAGUGGCGAAGGCGACUGACUGGACAAGUAUUGACGCUGAGGUGCGAAAGCGUGGGGAGCAAACAGGAUUAGAUACCCCUGUAGUCCCUGUCUCUUAUAC
rnacentral:rRNA from 1 species